rfam:Danio rerio chromosome 4, GRCz11 reference primary assembly.
GCAUUGGUGGUUCGCUGGUAGAAUUCUCGCCUGCCAUGCGGGAGACCCGAGUACGAUUCCUGGCCAAUGCA